rnacentral:lncRNA from 1 species
GGGGACAGGUUUGGAUGGGCUCAGACCCCAGCAGCACACAGCUCCCACUUGUGCAGCGCUCUGACCGCCAGCCCUGGGGACAGCACGAGCCUCGUGCUCCCUGCAUAGAAGAGCACACGCUGCGUGUGAGCCUCAGAAACCAUCUGUUAGUGACACAAAAACAUGCUGGCAGCGCUCAGCACCGCUUGGCAGGGAAACCUGUAUCAACUGUCUGCAGGCCAAGGUCUAAAGGGCAGUCCACCUCUGGAGACUUCUGCAGCUUUGAGGAGCUCUCAUCUUGCAGCUGGUGGGUGCCCUCACAGCACACAGCCCCGGGGGUGCUGCUCCAUGCCUUGAGUGUGCCCCAGGAGGACCAGGGAGGAGAGCAAAUGGAGCACCCCGGGAGCUUUCUCCCAUACUGCAAUAACUUUAGGAAGCAGAAGCUAGAAGCUCCUUCUCUUCCUGUUGCUGGGGAGCAGGUCCCAACCUCCUGGUCCAGGCGAUGUACUGCAGGUGCUGGGGAUGCAGAGGAAGGCUGGGGAGGACAGCUGUUCCCCAGACAUUUAUGGUGGCAGAAAAUGAAUAUACAUUGGAAGAAACACUCCAGCUGUGAGUGUCUCAGCAAAGCAAUUAAUGAGGGCAGAGCCUCACUGCCAGCGCAGCCCGCUCUGUUCCGGGGCUGCUGAGCCCUUCUCCUGCUCCUCUUUCUCCCCAUCGCUCUGCUUAUUGUUUGCUUCAUUGUUAAUCCUACCUAAUUUAAAAAUAGGAAAUUGAUUUCUUAUGUAUCCAUUACAAAUCAAAUCAUUUCUUUAUUACAGCAAGGAUCAUAUUUCAUAAGCAAGUCAUGGAAAAUUAAAACCAUGCCUGUUGCUUUGAUGAAAUAAAGGAGAGAAACGCUGGAGGGAAGGCACUGACAGCUGGGGGCUGUCAUGCAACCAGCGGUGCAGUUUAACUCUUUGCAGUACCCACAGCUCCUGCAGCUGCAUUUUCCUCCCACAGACUCUCACUGGUAGUCCUAAGCACCCCAUUACUGCUAAAACUCCAAAGCCUGUAACAGAGGGAGAGCAGCUCCUUGGAACAAAGCAGGGCAGUGGUUUUGAUACUGCAGAUUAUUUUGCUAACAGGUUUGCAGCAUGCCUGUGUGCCCAUGCAGAUGUUUCCCAGUGCUAACACUACUGACAUUAGGUACCAGAUAGUGCUGCUGCAGUGCACACAACGUAGGAACCCACUCACCAGCCCCCUGUUAGCACCACAGCCCUCACAGCACACACCGUUCCAGCAAGCAGAAGGAGAACCACCUUUGUCUGAGGACAGAUCUGGUCAGACCACACAUGGGUUAUGUCAGGACAGCAGGGCAGACCCGCAGCUCAUCAGCAGCGUGCUGUGACUUGGCACAGAUGGGGAAUUAAAACAAAAUCCGUUGUAUGCAUCACCAGGGAUUUAUGGACUGCUCUAUGAACCUCCCAGUGAAGAAGACAGGACAUUGGUGCUCUGAGAACUAAUCCAGAUAAGCACUGUGGCUAGCAGGGCAUUGCAACAUCCAACCCAAAGUUCAUCAGCUCCGUCAUUACCACGCUGAUCUCUAGGCACUGCGGUCAAAGAAACAAAGCCUCUAAUUUCCCUAUCAGAAAGGAAAAGAUCAGCGACUUUAUCUCCGCACAGUAUGUUUUCAACAGUUAUCAAUGCACUGUGCCUGAGGACAAGGGAUGAGCAGGGCUGUCAGAACCACAGGAGGCAAACCACACGAGAGAAGAGCGGCAGCAGGGAUCUCCCUGGAGCAGCAGUCCAUCCCUGGGAGCACAGCCUUGUAAGCCAGAAAUGAUUUUCCCUCACUUUGGGAUAAUACCUCCAUUUUGAAGCAAGCAAGCAGGAUUCUGAACCACAGGCUGUGUCUGUGCUCAGGGCUUUGGUGUCCCUUCUGGAAGCUCAGGCUGGUGAGACUGUCAUACCGAAGCAUACCAACAGAGAGGGCUGGAAACACUCCCACCUCACCCAGCCCUUCCCUGGGAGUUGGCCAGGGCAGCGCUUGUGUCCUGACAGCUUUGUUACAAAGAGCUUCUGAAGCAGCCGGCCAAAAAGUCCAUCUAAAUCUCCUGAUGGUCCUUUUGUGCCGAUGGUCAGAACUGGAAAACAAGCUUUGUACGUUGGUGGGAGCGGAGGAAACGGGCACCUUCCAGGAACACCCCAUGCUGGCCCUUCUGCCCCCCAAAGGGUCAUCAAAAACCACAUCCCUGGGAGAAGCGUGCUCUGUACUCCUUGCUGCCAGCUUCUCCACUGGCCGCUGUUAUGUGGAGCCAACUUAUAAAGAUCCCAAGAAGCAGUCUGUGUAAUUACUGCCAAUUACCGCCACGCAGCCCCACACUGCCUGGAAUGGCCCCUGCAGGGUUCUCCUGUGCAAAGGCAUUUCAGUUCUGGCAAGAUAUUUGAUGAUGUGUUUGAUAAAAUAGCCCCUCCCCCAAAAUAUCAGGAACACGGAAACAUGUAUUUGCACUCACACAACAGAGCAGCCUCACCCCACUAAUAUUUUAAUGGAACCACUGGAUGUUUUCAUUAGCUGCAUUUGACACUAUGACAGCAACAAUAACUGACAGACAGAAACUGAGACAAGACACAGUAAUUAGGUCAAACCUUCGGGACAGAGCUGUCAUCACAAGACAUAAACGUGCAUUUCUUUCCCACUGUCAAAGCUCCAUAAGCCAUCUUCUUGCUACAGGUUGUCUAUGCAGGAUAAAGACUUGGAAGCAACAAGGGUCAUUCUCCCUUUUGCUAUUCUUCACAGCUAUCCUGUGUUUAAUUGAUCUGGAUUAAUUAUUUAAGGUAAAUUCAGCUUUCCUGACCUAAUGGCAACAUGUCAACUGAUUAAGUUUACAAAGCCAGCAAAAUGAUCUGUGCAGUGAGGCCAGCUCCCAGCAUGUGUUAUUGAG